rnacentral:rRNA from 1 species
GAUGAACGCUAGCGGCAGGCUUAAUACAUGCAAGUCGAGGGGCAGCAUGAUUGUAGCAAUACAAUUGAUGGCGACCGGCAAACGGGUGCGGGACACGUACACAACCUCCCAAUAAGUGGGGAAUAGCCCAGAGAAAUUUGGAUUAAUACCCCGUAACAUAACGAUGUGGCAUCACAUUGUUAUUAUAGAUUUUUCGCUUAUUGAUGGGUGUGCGGCUGACUAGAUAGUUGGCGGGGUAACGGCCCACCAAGUCUACGAUCAGUAGCUGAUGUGAGAGCAUGAUCAGCCACACGGGCACUGAGACACGGGCCCGACUCCUACGGGAGGCAGCAGUAAGGAAUAUUGGACAAUGGACGCAAGUCUGAUCCAGCCAUGCCGCGUGAAGGAUUAAGGUCCUCUGGAUUGUAAACUUCUUUUAUAAGGGACGAAAAAAGGCUUUUCUAAGUCGUCUGACGGUACCUUAUGAAUAAGCACCGGCUAACUCCGUGCCAGCCGCCGCGGUAACAC